UACGUAGGGGGCAAGCGUUGUCCGGAUUUAUUGGGCGUAAAGAGCUCGUAGGCGGUCUGUCGCGUCUGCUGUGAAAACUCGGGGCUUAACCCCGGGCCUGCAGUGGGUACGGGCAGACUAGAGUGCGGUAGGGGAGACUGGAAUUCCUGGUGUAGCGGUGGAAAUGCGCAGAUAGUCAGGAGGAACACCGGUGGCGAAGGCGGGUCUCUGGGCCGAUACUGACGCUGAGGAGCGAAAGCGUGGGGAGCGAAACAGG
rnacentral:rRNA from 1 species